GGGGUGGGCUCUGGGGGGCCAGGUGCGGCCUCAGCGCCGUCACUUCCCGGGAAGCCUCGUCCCCGGGGUCCCCGCCGGCUCCUGCUGGCUCCCCCGUUCCUCUGAAAUCGGAGGAACAGGCUCCGGGAACGCGGCCAGACUCCCCCACGGCUCAGACGGCUUUAAAGCAAUAUUCCUGCCAGAUGUUCAGAGCAGAGGCCAGCAUGAGUUACAGGCGAUGCUGCAGAAACGCGUGUUUUCCCGUCUGGGACUCAGUUUGUCGCAGACCCAUUCCUGGAUCGCCGCUGUCGCCCACUCUCCCCAGAGGCCUCCUCCCUCCCACCCGACCGAUGGGAGGCCGCGUCCCCCACACUUGCCAGGAGCCCCGCCUGCAGCCCAGGCGUCUUCCCUGCAGCCGAGGCCACGGGCUCCUGUGGCAACGGCCGCCUCCCCCCGGCCUGUUUUCUGCCUUCUGCCGUCCUGUUGGUGACUGGGGAGGCCCGUGGUCAGUGAGGCCCCAGAGAUCACCUGGGGGAGUCCUGUAGGGAGAGCCUGACUCGGACCAGCGUUGAGCCGUCGCGCCCCCGCUUGGGACCAGGACGGGCUGCACCUUCCCCACCUGUGGCCCUGGGACCUGCCCCACCCGACCCCGGGGAGAUCCAACCGCAGGCUGCCUCCGGCCAGCGGACUCGUUCACACUCUCGGCCAACAGGCUGGGGCCAGGCGCCGCCCUGCCCUCGGUGCCCAGCAAACACGUGGGCCAGCCAGACCCCUGGACCCUCACAGGGAGGAGAUGGAGAUGGGUUCACCUCCUACAAAGGUGGGAGGGGGAGGGGAUGCCCGCCGUGCCCAGGUGCCAGGGCGGAGCCGAGGGCCGCGGGCACCACUUGGGCCCUUGGAGGGGCCGGCAUGUGCCUCUCUGUCGUUGUGCCACUUCCACCGGGGUACAGGGCCACCACCAUGGAAACCGCAUGUGUAACCCCUGGAAACAAGGUCCUCCUGGAUGAAUCAUGUUCUAAGUGGGGAGGAAAAUUCACUGGAUAGUGGAGGCAGUAGGAAGAAAUAAAAAAUGUCUUUGUUCC